rnacentral:rRNA from 1 species
AACGAACGCUGGCGGCGUGCUUAACACAUGCAAGUCGUACGAGAAAUCCUGAGCAAUCGGGAGAGUAAAGUGGCGCACGGGUGAGUAACACGUGGGUAAUCUACCCUUAAGUUGGGGAUAACUUCGCGAAAGCGGGGUUAAUACCGAAUAAUAUUCUAAUUCCUAUGGGAGUUGGAAUCAAAGGUGGCCUCUGCAUGCAAGCUAUCACUUAUGGAUGAGCCCGCGUGCCAUUAGCUUGUUGGUAGGGUAAUGGCCUACCAAGGCUACGAUGGCUAGCUGGUCUGAGAGGAUGGCCAGCCACACUGGAACUGAGACACGGUCCAGACUCCUACGGGGAGGCUG